AGAGUUUGAUCCUGGCUCAGGACGAACGCUUGCGGCGUGCCUAAGAAAUGCAAGUCGAACGGGGGCUUCGGCCCCAGUGGCGAACGGUCGCGUAACACGUAAGCAACCUGCCCUGAAGUGGGGGACAACAUCCCGAAAGGGGUGCUAAUACCGCAUGUGGUCACGAGUCGGCAUCGACUUGUGUCUAAAGAUUUAUCGCUUCAGGAUGGGCUUGCGGCCUAUCAGGUAGUUGGUGGGGUAAUGGCCUACCAAGCCGACGACGGGUAGCUGGUCUGAGAGGACGAUCAGCCGGAUUGGGACUGAGAUACGGCCCAGACUCCUACGGGGGGCAGCAAUUAGGAAUCUUGCGCAGUGGGGGAAACCCUGACGCAGCGACGUCGCGUGAAGGAUGAAGGCCCUCGGGUCGUAAACUUCUUUUGAGUGGGAAGAAAUUUGACGGUACCACUCGAAUAAGCCCCGGCUAACUACGUGCCAGCAGCCGCGGUAAUACGUAGGGGGCGAGCGUUGUCCGAAGUUACUGGGCGUAAAGCGCGCGUAGGCGGUUAUUUAAGUCUGGGGUGAAAGGUUCAGCGCUCAACGUGAACAGUGCCUUGGAUACUGGAUGACUUGAGUCUGGGAGGGGGAAGGGGAAUUCCUGGUGUAGCGGUGAAAUGCGUAGAUAUCAGGAGGAACACCGGUGGCGAAGGCGCCUUCCUGGCCUAAGACUGACGCUGAGGUGCGAAAGCGUGGGGAGCAAACGGGAUUAGAUACCCCGGUAGUCCACGCCGUAAACGAUGAGUGCUAGGUGUCGGGGGUAUCGACCCCCCCGGUGCCGUCGCUAACGCAUUAAGCACUC
rnacentral:rRNA from 1 species